rnacentral:lncRNA from 1 species
GGACCUCGGGCACGGAGGCUGCGACGGUGACACCGCGCUGGACCUCAGCCAGGCCAAGGACGGCGCUGCCAAGAGUCCCUUUGCGAGCAGGACCAAGCCAGCGCUGCUCCCCAAGCCGCAGCUGCCCCCCGGCACUCCCCAGAGCGGCGGCGUCUCCAUCCCGGCCAUGAAGGUGGUGAAUCCGGCGUCGCGGCUGAAGCAGGGCCAGCAGGGCAGCCCCGACAAGGGCAAGCACAUCAAGCAGCGCAUGGAGUACAUGCGGAUCCAGGGCCAGCAGCAGUGACACGUGGGACCCGCUCUUGUCGUGCUCUUUGUGGUGGCCCUUUCCAGCUGCUUGACCUCAGGCCUGACUCAGUGCUGCUUCUGAACCAGCUCCCUUUGCUUCUCGGUCGUUUCUGGGUUUUUCCUGUCCUCGUUUCUGUCGGUUUUUUUCCUCUUUUUUGUUCCUUUCUUUCGUCUUUCUAUUUUUUUUAGAGCUUUUUCUUCUCUUUUUCUUUGGACUUUCCACCCCUUUCUCCUCCUCCUCGUCCUCCUUGAAUCUUGCUUUUCUUUCCAGGCCACUAGACCAUCUAAAGAGGCCAGUGAGACCUCCCCCACGGUCUCAGAAAAACCCGCAGCGGGCAGAACCUCCAUCCCCGUAUUGACUUCCUUUGGGGCCAGGAACUCCUCCAUCUCAUUCUGAGGCCCCUGCCAGCUCCGCCCGGGGGCUCCUCCUCCUCCUCCUCCUCGCGCUCNNNNNNNNNNNNNNNNNNNNCCCUGCGACUUGGCUUCUCCUUGAGGCGCUCUGGAGGCGACCCGCCACCCGUGUCCCCUCCUCUUUCUGUUCGAUCCGUGUUU